GUUCGGAGGUUGGUUUCGGUUCGACUGAAGGUUCAGGCUCUGCAUUAGGUUCCGAUGAUGGUUCGGGUUCGACAGAAGGUUCGGGUUCUGCCUUGGGUUGGGAUACAGGUUCAGGUUCAACAGACGGUACAGGCUCUGCGUUGGGUUCCGAUGAUGGUUCGGGUUCGACAGAAGGUUCAGGUUCUGCCUUGGGUUGGGAUACAGGUUCGGGUUCAACAGACGGUAGAGGCUCUGUGUUGGGUUCAGAUGUUGGUUCAGGUUCUGCUUUAGGUUCAGAAGUCGGUUCAAGUUCUGAUUGGGGUGUAACAAUUGGCUC